GGGGAAUAUUGGACAAUGGGGGGAACCCUGAUCCAGCCAUGCCGCGUGUGUGAGGAAGGCCUUUUGGUUGUAAAGCACUUUAAGCGAGGAGGAGGCUACCGAGAUUAAUACUCUUGGAUAGUGGACGUUACUCGCAGAAUAAGCACCGGCUAACUCUGUGCCAGCAGCCGCGGUAAUACAGAGGGUGCAAGCGUUAAUCGGAUUUACUGGGCGUAAAGCGCGCGUAGGUGGCCAAUUAAGUCAAAUGUGAAAUCCCCGAGCUUAACUUGGGAAUUGCAUUCGAUACUGGUUGGCUAGAGUAUGGGAGAGGAUGGUAGAAUUCCAGGUGUAGCGGUGAAAUGCGUAGAGAUCUGGAGGAAUACCGAUGGCGAAGGCAGCCAUCUGGCCUAAUACUGACACUGAGGUGCGAAAGCAUGGGGAGCAAACAGGAUUAGAUACCCUGGUAGUCCAUGCCGUAAACGAUGUCUACUAGCCGUUGGGGCCUUUGAGGCUUUAGUGGCGCAGCUAACGCGAUAAGUAGACCGCCUGGGGAGUACGGUCGCAAGACUA
rnacentral:rRNA from 1 species